rnacentral:rRNA from 1 species
GAUGAACGCUGGCGGCGUGCCUAAUACAUGCAAGUCGAGCGAACAGACGAGGAGCUUGCUCCUUCGACGUUAGCGGCGGACGGGUGAGUAACACGUAGGUAACCUACCUAUAAGACUGGGAUAACUUCGGGAAACCGGAGCUAAUACCGGAUAAUAUUUCGAACCGCAUGGUUCGAUAGUGAAAGAUGGCUUUGCUAUCACUUAUAGAUGGACCUGCGCCGUAUUAGCUAGUUGGUAAGGUAACGGCUUACCAAGGCAACGAUACGUAGCCGACCUGAGAGGGUGAUCGGCCACACUGGAACUGAGACACGGUCCAGACUCCUACGGGAGGCAGCAGUAGGGAAUCUUCCGCAAUGGGCGAAAGCCUGACGGAGCAACGCCGCGUGAGUGAUGAAGGUCUCGGAUCGUAAAACUCUGUUAUUAGGGAAGAACAAACGUGUAAGUAACUGUGCACGUCUUGACGGUACCUAAUCAGAAAGCCACGGCUAACUACGUG